UGCCUCCUGCUGCUUAUCACAGCUCUAUUCUUACAGUGACUAAGAAAGAGAGGAGGCAAAGUAAACUUACCACAUAUAUGUCUUAUUCCAGUGUUGUGAACGAGGAGGCAUGU
rnacentral:snoRNA from 1 species